UACGUAGGGUGCAAGCGUUGUCCGGAAUUAUUGGGCGUAAAGAGCUCGUAGGCGGUUUGUCGCGUCUGCUGUGAAAACCCGAGGCUCAACCUCGGGCCUGCAGUGGGUACGGGCAGACUAGAGUGCGGUAGGGGAGAUUGGAAUUCCUGGUGUAGCGGUGGAAUGCGCAGAUAUCAGGAGGAACACCGGUGGCGAAGGCGGGUCUCUGGGCCGAUACUGACGCUGGAGGAGCGAAAGCGUGGGGAGCGAACAGGA
rnacentral:rRNA from 1 species